CGGUCCAGACUCCUACGGGAGGCAGCAGUGGGGAAUAUUGCACAAUGGGCGCAAGCCUGAUGCAGCCAUGCCGCGUGUGUGAAGAAGGCCUUCGGGUUGUAAAGCACUUUCAGCGGGGAGGAAGGCGAUAAGGUUAAUAACCUUGGCGAUUGACGUUACCCGCAGAAGAAGCACCGGCUAACUCCGUGCCAGCAGCCGCGGUAAUACGGAGGGUGCAAGCGUUAAUCGGAAUUACUGGGCGUAAAGCGCACGCAGGCGGUCUGUCAAGUCGGAUGUGAAAUCCCCGGGCUCAACCUGGGAACUGCAUUCGAAACUGGCAGGCUAGAGUCUUGUAGAGGGGGGUAGAAUUCCAGGUGUAGCGGUGAAAUGCGUAGAGAUCUGGAGGAAUACCGGUGGCGAAGGCGGCCCCCUGGACAAAGACUGACGCUCAGGUGCGAAAGCGUGGGGAGCAAACAGGAUUAGAUACCCUGGUAGUCCACGCCGUAAACGAUGUCGAUUUGGAGGUUGUGCCCUUGAGGCGUGGCUUCCGGAGCUAACGCGUUAAAUCGACCGCCUGGGGAGUACGGCCGCAAGGUUAAAACUCAAAUGAAUUGACGGGGGCCCGCACAAGCGGUGGAGCAUGUGGUUUAAUUCGAUGCAACGCGAAGAACCUUACCUGGUCUUGACAUCCACAGAACUUUCCAGAGAUGGAUUGGUGCCUUCGGGAACUGUGAGACAGGUGCUGCAUGGCUGUCGUCAGCUCGUGUUGUGAAAUGUUGGGUUAAGUCCCGCAACGAGCGCAACCCUUAUCCUUUGUUGCCAGCGGUCCGGCCGGGAACUCAAAGGAGACUGCCAGUGAUAAACUGGAGGAAGGUGGGGAUGACGUCAAGUCAUCAUGGCCCUUACGACCAGGGCUACACACGUGCUACAAUGGCAUAUACAAAGAGAAGCGACCUCGCGAGAGCAAGCGGACCUCAUAAAGUAUGUCGUAGUCCGGAUUGGAGUCUGCAACUCGACUCCAUGAAGUCGGAAUCGCUAGUAAUCGUAGAUCAGAAUGCUACGGUGAAUACGUUCCCGGGCCUUGUACACACCGCCCGUCACACCAUGGGAGUGGGUUGCAAAAGAAGUAGGUAGCUUAACCUUCGGGAGGGCGCUUACCACUUUGUGAUUCAUGACUGGGGUGAAGUCGUAACAAGGUAACCGUAGGGGAACCUGCGGUUGGAUCACCUCCUUACCUUAAAGAA
rnacentral:rRNA from 1 species